rnacentral:rRNA from 1 species
AUUGAACGCUGGCGGCAGGCCUAACACAUGCAAGUCGAGCGAGCGGCGGACGGGGGAGUAAUGUCUGGGAGACUGUCUGAUGGGGGGGGAUAACUCCUGGAAACGGUAGCUAAUACCGCAUACGCCCACAUGUGCCCAGAUGGGAUUAGCUAGUGGGUGGGGUAACGGCUCACCUCGGCGACGCUCCCUAGCUGGUCUGAGAGGAUGACCAGCCACACUGGAACUGAGACACGGUCCAGACUCCUACGGGAUGCAGCAGUGGGGAAUAUUGCACAAUGGGCGCAAGCCUGAUACAGCCAUGCCGCGUGUAUGAAGAAGGCCUUCGGGUUGUAAAGCACUUUCAGCGGGGAGGCGUUACCCGCAGAAGAAGCACCGGCUAACUCCGUGCCAGCAGCCGCGGUAAUAC